UGCCCGGUUCGGANUCGNCUGAGGGNUCNNUNGNGGGNCCGACCUGCCCCGUACUUCGNNNAANNUCCUGGAAACGGGUGGNANUGCCGAAUGCUCCAACAUGCUGCAUGGUGUGUUGGGAAAGGGUUCUGUACCGGUAUGGGAUGGGGUCGCGUCCUAUCAGCUUGUUGGUGAGGUAACGGCUCACCAAGGCCUCGACGGGUAGCCGGCCUGAGAGGGCGACCGGCCACAUUGGGACUGAGAUACGGCCCAGACUCCUACGGGAGGCAGCAGUGGGGAAUAUUGCACAAUGGGCGCAAGCCUGAUGCAGCGACGCCGCGUGCGGGAUGACGGCCUUCGGGUUGUAAACCGCUUUUGAUUGGGAGCAAGCGUGAGUGAGUGUACCUUUCGAAUAAGCGCCGGCUAACUACGUGCCAGCAGCCGCGGUAAUACGUAGGGCGCAAGCGUUGUCCGGAAUUAUUGGGCGUAAAGGGCUCGUAGGCGGCCCGUCGCGUCCGGUGUGAAAGCCCGUCGCUUAACGUCGGGUCUGCGCCGGGUACGGGCGGGCUGGAGUGCGGUAGGGGAGACUGGAAUUCCCGGUGUAACGGUGGAAUGUGUAGAUAUCGGGAAGAACACCAAUGGCGAAGGCAGGUCUCUGGGCCGUUACUGACGCUGAGGAGCGAAAGCGUGGGGAGCGAACAGGAUUAGAUACCCUGGUAGUCCACGCCGUAAACGGUGGACGCUGGAUGUGGGGCCCUUUCCACGGGUUCCGUGUCGGAGCUAACGCGUUAAGCGUCCCGCCUGGGGAGUACGGCCGCAAGGCUAAAACUCAAAGAAAUUGACGGGGGCCCGCACNNGCGGCGGNNNAUGCGGAUUAAUUNGAUGCAACGCGAAGAACCUUACCUGGGCUUGA
rnacentral:rRNA from 1 species